rnacentral:rRNA from 1 species
UGAGCAAUCUGCCCUUCUCAUCGGAAUAACCAUUGGAAACGAUGGCUAAUGCCAAAUAUGACCUCGGAUCACAUGUUCUGAGGUGGAAAGCUCCGGCGGAGAAGGAUGAGCUCGCGGCCUAUCAGCUUGUUGGUGGGGUGAUGGCCUACCAAGGCGACGACGGGUAGCCGGCCUGAGAGGGCGACCGGCCACACUGGGACUGAGACACGGCCCAGAUCCUACGGG